CGCUAAUCGCUUUCCACUUCGUUUGGGAGUAUCGCCAAUCAGAGCGAAGAUGCGCACGAAAGAAGGAAAACUGGUCUUUUCGCAGUUAUGAAUUUCGGUGACGGCAGGCGAGAAAAAGAUUUCGAAAUUUUGAAGCUGUCUAAGUGGUGUUACCCCUUAAGAUCAGGCAGAAUUCAAAAUGGAAGUGAAAAACUGCUGUAGAUGGCGUCAGGCUUAAUUAGGAGGUUGUAAUUAGUAAGCAAAACAUAGAAACUCGUUGGUGAAGCACUCUUGAGUACGUCAUCGUUUCCAGAUGCUUUAACGAGCAUUUUUUGUCAGCGGACAGCCUUCACGCCUGGCCGAAUCGCGGCUGUUCACCCCCCAUGGGCUGUAAAUUAAUUCGACCGAUGACGUUUUCUGCACCCUCGUGCUUCGAUCCCUUGAAACAGGGACAGUGAGUCACCGAUGACUUUCCGUCAAUUUCCGCCUCGUUUCAUUGAUCCUGGGGAAGCCUGAGGUCGGCAGUCAAAAUUCUUCCCAUCGGAUAUUGGUUACUCACCGUCAGCUGCGGCCAUUAUAGUGGAAUAUACAUAGAAUUUCUAUGCCAUGUUUAAACAACUGAAUUACAGGGCCGGCCCUGGACCUAGGCAGACUAGGCGGCCGCCUAGGGCCCUCCAAUGUCUAGGGCUCUCCAACGUCUAGGGCCCUCCAUCGUCUAGGGCUCUCCA